GGGACGAACGCUGGCGGCGUGCUUAACACAUGCAAGUCGGACGGUGAUCUUGGGGGCUUGCCCCUGGGUGAUCAGUGGCGAACGGGUGAGUAACACGUGAGUAACCUGCCCUUCACUCUGGGAUAACUCCGGGAAACCGGGCUAAUACUGGAUAUGACCUGCUCGGGCAUCCGAAGUGGGUGGAAAGAUUUAUUGGUGGGGGAUGGACUCGCGGCCUAUCAGCUUGUUGGUGAGGUAAUGGCUCACCAAGGCGACGACGGGUA
rnacentral:rRNA from 1 species